UACGUAGGGUGCAAGCGUUUGUCCGGAAUUAUUGGGCGUAAAAGAGCUCGUAGGCGGUCUGUCACGUCGGCUGUGAAAACCCGGGGCUCAACCCCGGGCCUGCAGUCGAUACGGGCAGACUAGAGUGCGGUAGGGGAGACUGGAAUUCCUGGUGUAGCGGUGAAAUGCGCAGAUAUCAGGAGGAACACCGGUGGCGAAGGCGGGUCUCUGGGCCGUAACUGACGCUGAGGAGCGAAAGCGUGGGGAGCGAACAGG
rnacentral:rRNA from 1 species